CGGCGGGGCAGUGCUGUUGCCAGGAGGCCACUCGAGGACAUCCUGCAGACAGCCAAGCCACAGAUGUGCCUGAGCCUCCUCUGCAGUCACAAACACUCUGCUGCCCAAUGGGAGGCAUCUGCUUCACCCAGGCAAGCGGCCAGGAACAGUUGGUCGGUCGUUGGAUUUUGCUUUCUCUAAACUUUGGCUCCUAGACUGUUCCUGCGGACAGCCUUUGUAAUGGCUUUUUCAUGGGAAGCUAGAAUCAGGCGAAAGCAGAACAGGGCCACGUCUAGCGGAGACGCGAGCCCGUGAACCCAUAGACUGGCUUUCCACCCCAACCCCCUGCCCCUUACCUCAACCUCAGUUCUGUCCGCCGAGGAGGCUGAAGAGCCUCUGCUUCCAGCCACAGCUGUGAGGCAUUAAAUGAGAUGAUACAGGGGGUGCCGGGAAGACCAGAGCUGUAGAGCGUGAGUUACUUCCUUGCAGGGCUACGUGGCUGCCCGAGGCCCUAUGCUGUAUGCGGCUACCCAGAGUCUUCAGACAGCUCAUGAGCCGAAAGGUGAAGUCAAGAUUAGCCUUCAGUUCUGACGAGUGUGUUUCACUUUUCACACCAGCGUAAAGUUCCAAUGUUAAGUCCGAUCAUCAUGAGUUGGAGACUGGGGUGGGAACCUCGGGGCUCAGCCACAGACAGGGAAGGACAGUGGGGAGAAAUGGGAUCAGGAUGUGGAGAUGGGACUCGGGGACUCAUGCCUUAGAGCUGAUGACAUGGAGGAGGGAUUGGGGGAAACCUCUGGGGAUCCAGCACCAGGCCACAUCUAUGCAGUCCUUGUCUUAGGCAUGAGUGCCAAGGGGCAAUUUCAUGUUCUACCAACAGUCUAGCUUGUCAUCCAGAGUGAUACUCCAACGGGCAAAAAUGCCCAGCUAAUGUUAAAGAAUUUACCUACCUUAGCUGAGCAUUGGGCUUUGUGUGAACUCUGAGGGACAUAGAGUACUAAUGUGCAAUGGUUUGUAUAGGCUUGGCCCAGGGGGUGGCACUAUUAAAGGUGUGGCUUCGUUGGAGUGGGUGUGUCACUGUAGGUGUGGCCUUUAAGGUCCUCAUCCUAGCUGCCUGUAAGCAGUAUUCUGCUAGCAGCCUUAGAUGAAGAUGUGGAAGUCUCAGCUCCUCCUGCACCAGGCCUGCCUGGAUUCUGCCAUGUUUCCACCUUGAUGAUAAUGGAUUGAACCUCUGAACCUGUAAGCCAGGCCCAAUUAAAUGUUGUCCUUACAAGAGUUGCCUUGGUCAUGGUGUCUCUUCACAGCAGUAAAACCCUAUCUAAGGCCUGAUGGGACAAUGGAAGAGCAGAGAAGGCCACACCGAUUGAAGCCACUGCUAAUGGGCCAAACUGCUAAUAGGAUGAGGGUCCAUGUCCCCAGAUUUGUCUAUACUCAGCUGUUAGGAUUGGUGAUCACGGUCAAGUCGAUUGACUUAGACUCACCUGAGAGGUGGAUCUGAGUAUCCCCGUUGGAGAUUGUCCUGAUUAGAUUCACGGUGUGGAAAGGAAGCAUUCCCUGGUGUGGGAAUCCUGACGCAGAAGCAAUGUGAGAACUGCUUCGGAUUGCCGUUGCUGCUGCCCUCUCGUCCCUCAGCAGUCACUCUCUCCACCCCCUGAGGAGGUCUGAGGAAGCUCUCUCUCCCUUAAGUUACUCUCGACACAGCUACUGGAAGGGAACCUAUGACACCCUAACCUGCAGGAGACCACCUGUGGAGCUGUAGCCUUCAAAGAUUCUUGGGAGUAUGUGAGGGUGAGCAGGGCUCACACAGGGGACACAUUCUCCUAGGAGACCCCACAGAUCUGCCCUGACCUUACCUUUUCUUUCCACCAUGUGGGAGCCUCACCAGACACUAAGUCAGCCAGCAAGCUUAGAGACAUGGGGAAUGGAUGUCUACUGUUUACCUGCUCUCUGGGUCAUGGCGAUCUGGACAGCAGCUUGCCUGGGCUGAGACACAGCUGAAUCCUGUCUUCCUAAGGCUGUCUGCCCAAUGACACCAGGAAUCCCUGUCCUCUGAAAUGAAGACCCCCUGCUCUCCGUGUGCCUUCCUCACCAGGGGCCAGCUGAAGCUCACUCCAGAUUCUACCCAAGCCGGCAGGUAUCCUCAUCAGAUGGUCAUUCUAGCAGAAAAGGUAUCCUGUGAGAAAUGGCUGUGUGCAGUUUCACACGGGAGCUAUAGAUGAUCACACCGUCCACACGAUCACACCAUCCGCACGUUCACACCAUCCACACGAUCACACCAUUCACACACCAUCUAUAGGAUCACACCAUCCACACGAUCACACCAUCCAUAUGAUUACACCAUCCACACGAUCACGCCAUCCACAUGAUCACACCAUCCACACACCAUCUAUAGGAUCACACCAUCCACAUGAUCACUCCAUCCAUAUGUUUACACCAUCCACAUGAUCACACCAUCCACACACCAUCUAUAGGAUCACACUAUCCACACGAUCACUCCAUCCAUAUGAUUACACCAUCCACACGAUCACUCCAUCCAUAUGAUUACACCAUCCACACGAUCACACCAUCCAUAUGAUUACACCAUCCACAUGAUCACACCAUCCACACACCAUCUAUAGGAUCACACUAUCCACACGAUCACACCAUCCAUAUGAUUACACCAUCCACAUGAUCAUGCCAUCCACAUGAUCACACCAUCCACACACCAUCUAUAGGAUCACACCAUCCACAUGAUCACACCAUCCAUAUGAUUACACCAUCCACAUGAUCAUGCCAUCCACAUGAUCACACCAUCCACACACCAUCUAUAGGAUCACACUAUCCACACGAUCACUCCAUCCAUAUGAUUACACCAUCCACAUGAUCACACCAUCCACAUGAUCACACCAUCCACACACCAUCUAUAGGAUCACACUAUCCACACGAUCACACCAUCCAUAUGAUUACACCAUCCACAUGAUCACGCCAUCCACAUGAUCACACCAUCCACACACCAUCCACACAAUCAUGCCAUCCACACAAUCAUGCCAUCCACAUAAGUCGUUCUGCUCUUAGUUGCUGUCUUGAUUUUCUGCUUAAAACACUGCACUGUCAUCUGCUAAAUAAAAGAACAAUUCCUGCUAAGAGUUGGGUGUCAGCAGUGGAAAGGGUGAAGCAACCAAUGUUCAUGAACAUGGGGAUCCAGAGGUAGGGCUGAAGUCCCGGGAAUGCAGGUACUUGGUUAAGGUAAGAUGAAUAUGGCCGUGCCUCUGUUUAUGUCCAUUCCCUCCGUUCCUAAUUAUGGGAGACUGAAUGUGACAUGGUCAUCAGAAGCCAGAAAAGACCAGGGAUGAUCCCCAGUUCCCAGUGCUCCAGCCUACACACGCACAGUCUCACCACAGUGCUCAUUAGAAAGCAUGCUUUGAUUUUGGGCCUCUUCUGGGGUCAGUGCUGUGCAGUCUAGCCUUGUCUCCCGGUGCUGUGCUGGCCAGUUAGCAAGGAGCUGCAGCACCCAGUCAGCCAUGAGGGAGAGCAUAUGUAGCUCUCGGACCCUUCGCUGCUCAGCUGCUCAGAAUGUGUUUCCUCCUCACGGUCCCACAGUGUUUUCCACUUGCGGUGUGUGAGUAGAGGGACAGGUGAAACUGAUGUGGCCCUCAGCCGUGACAUCACACCCUAGCUGCAAAUGCUCAGUGCCCGUUCGGUGCAGCUCUAAACACUGAUGUCUGUCUCUGAAGCUUUGUGAGGAAGGUCUUACUUCUGCAACGUUGCAAACCUGCUCAGGGUCCUGUGGUUAGGACAUGACUGGUGUCUGCACUCAGCAUCUGUAUCCAUUAAAGCGUAAACACUGUAGGUUUUAACUAUUCACAUUCUAAAUAUUUUGCCUGAUGGCAUGCACUUUACGAUAUUUCGAUUUAUUCACUCUCAUUUGAUUGUGUGUGUGUGUGUGUGUGUGUGUGUGUGUGUGUGUGUGUGUCCAAUACUGAACAGGUAUGGUGAUUUGAAUAUGCUUGGCCCAGGGAGUGGCACUAUUAGGAGGUAUGGCCUUGUUGGAGAAAGUCUGUCUCUGUGGAGAUGGGCAUGGACACCCCCCUCCUUGCUGCCGGGAAGUCAAUUUUCUCCUAGUGGCCUUCAGAUCAAGAUGCAGAACUCUCAGCUCCUUCUCUAGCACAGUGUCUGCCUGGACACUGCCGUGCUUCCUGCUAUGAUGACGAUAGACUGAACCUGUAAGCCAGCCCCAAUUAAAUGUUGUCCCUUAUAAGAGUUGCCUUGGUCAUGGUGUCUUUUCUUGGCAAUGGAAACCCUAAGACAGAAGUUAGUACCAGGGACAGUGGUGUUAAUGCGAUAGCCCUGACAGUGUUUCUGUUUGGAGGAAUGUGGAUUUGGGGACUUUGGAUUUGGAAAGCAGUGGGAUGCUUUAAGUGGAGGCCUAAUGGGCCAUCCUUGUAGGAAUAUAGGAGACAGUGGUGCUGAGGGUGAUUUGAACUGUAUCCUGGCUGUAGAGGUUUCAGGGGAGAAGAAUUUUAGUAUGUGGUAGAGACUAUUGUAAUAUUUUGGUGAAAAUGUGGCUGCUUUUUGCCCUUGUCUGAAACUUCAAUUAAUUGCACUGAUAAAGCAAGUCUCAGAAAAGCCCAGCAUAGAUCUCGUCCUCUGGCUCACUCUCAUGAUCAAGUGUAGCAAGCUUAAAAAGAAAACGAAAACAAAAACAAAAAUGUAUGGUGCAAGUAGUAGAAGGAACACAGGAAGGGAAGGAGAGCCUAAUCCUGUGUCCAAGGAGAGAAACAAAGGGAGACAAACAUAAGGAAAUGGUGACUUGGGGACAAGAUCCCACCCAGCUAAGCCUAGUGUUAUGUGUCCACCAUUGAACAAGGACAGUUAUAUCAUGUUAGACAUCAUUAUUACUUGGUUAUUGUUUUCACUUGGACUUUUAAUCUGGAAUGAACUACAAUCCAGAUAUGGAAGAUGCUUGCUUUUGAUCCAAAUCUUGAGGCACAGUGACCAUGAAAGGCUUAGGUCCAGGCACGAUAGUACAAGCUUUUAAUUCCAGAAGACAGAGGCAAGCAGUUCCCUGAGUUCAAGACCACUUGAGUACAGAGCAGGUUCCCACGAGAGAAAAGCCUAGGUCCAGGCCUGGUGAUGUGCACCUUUAACCCCAAAGGAAAGCUGCUAACAGGGAGUGGAACCAGUCCAAGAGAAAGAAGUUUGCUGCAGUCCACAAACAUGAAAGGAGUUGGAGAUCUGAAGACCACUUUUACAUCAGACACGGAGAUGCAGAGUCUGGAGUUUGCCCAGCUGGUUUUUGGUCUUGCUUUGGUCCGGUGUUCCCCCAUUUUGGAAUGGUAAUGUAUAUCGUGUGAUGUCGGCAGUAUUGUGAUUUGCCUUUUGAUUUUGACUUUAUAGGGGAUUACGGUUAAGUGACUGGAUGAAUCUGGGAAAAGACUUUGAACUUUGGAGUUUUAAUGCUGUUGAGACUGCUUUAGACUACAGGACGUUUGAAGUUGGACUAAAUGUAUUUUGCACUGUGCUAUGACUAGGUAUGGCCCUCAUAGACACUUAUAUUUGAAUAAGCUUAUGGGGACCAAGGAGUAGAAUGUGGCCGUUUGAGCAUGCUUGUCCCAGGGAGUAGCAUUACUAGAAGGUAUGGCCUUCUUGUUGGAGUAGGUGUGGCCUUGUUAGAGGAAGUGUGUCACUGUGGGGGUGAGCUUGGACACCCUCCUCCUAGAUGCCUGGAAGUUAGUCUUCUCCUAGUGACCUUCAGAUCAAGAUGCAGAACUCUCCGCUCCUUCUCCAGCACGGUGUCUGCCUGCCAUGUUGUUCAUGACUGAACCUCUGAAUCUGUAAGCCAGCCUCAAUUAAACAUUGUCCUUUGUAAGACUUGCUGUGGUCAUGGUCUCUUCAUAGCAAUGGAAACCCUAAGACAAUGGGGAGAGUGCUAUCCCUCCAAACAGUCUGUCAUACAAUUUUAGGUUGUGUUCUAACCAUGCCUCUUCUCAGGACCCAUGGAUUGCUCUCUGCCACCACUAAAGGGUGAAAUAUGGAAUUCCGCAUAGAUGGAGUCACCAUGGACAUGCUGUUCAUGGUCUGGGUCUUUUUUCCCUCAUUGCUGUGAAGGUGUGCUUUGCUCCUGUGGACUGCUGUGUAGAAUUCUAACCAUUGCUACAACUUCCCUGGAAGGUGCAUCAACUUCCUGUGAGCUUGUGCAUUCUCUCCUGGGGAGAGGUAACCCAGGAAGUAAACGAAAGUCACAAGAACAGGAAAGCUGAAUAGAACAGGAUUCACCGGCCCCUCCCAAGGUUACAGAAGAGGACUGCUCUAACCCCGUGCAGAGCUCCAGGGGCUCAGCGUCCAUGCAUCACCCACGAUGAACUAGGCUUUUGGAGAUCUGCCUUGAGUUUUC